UAGAUACUCUUUGCCUAUUUUUGUAACAUUUGCAAACCUGUAAUGUUUGUUUCAGUAUGUAAGGUACAGCACCUUCUAACAUAUCAUGGUGUACGUCAGCGGAAAAGUUAUCAAUGGGAUGGAAGAAAUCAGAUUGCAAGGAGCAGGUAGUUUGAAUUCCACAAGAGGCUUACCAUUGUUACAACUUUUCUUCAGGGAAUCACUGUAUGUGUCUUUUGUUCUUAAAAUACACUGCCUGUAGGAGUUCUACAACGUACCACAAAAAAGCUGUACUGAAUUUGUUAUAUGUUAUAUAAAAGAAAAAACUUACUUGUUUUGAAUAUCAUCCCCUUGACAAAGGCAAUAUCUAGAAACUUAUGUUGCAUGACCAAAAAACUUUUCGGUAAAUUCCCAAACAAGGAAUGUGCAGCAAGAUUGUCUAGCGAAAUUUGUGCAAUUGAUCCCUUCAGUGUUACUUGCUGCCCAUUUAUACAUGCAACAACACCCGUCUGCAACCAUAGACAUCUUAACAAUAGUAGACUAUACCUGCAUGGCCAUUUCUCGUCUAUUUUUGGGAUAUGAUAGGUCACACUACACGUUCUAAUUUGUGAAAAGUCAUUAAAAAGUGAUAAAAUAUACUUUACAUACAUAUUAAGACAAAAACAUAUUAUUUUAAGUGAAAAAAACAUCCAGACACGUUCCGCUUGACUGGAACCAGGUAACAGCAGCAAGCCUCAGUAGCAACAUUUUAUUUUCGAUAUUUAAAACAAUUCUUAGUUAUGAAGAGGGGCAUUAUAGCGUAACUGUAUAGUGUAAUAGACAGCAUUAGAGACAAAGUUACGAUCCUACAUGUUCAUCGGCCCCACAACAGAAAGUCCAUACUGAGCAAUCCAUUGAUCAUGGAAUGUUUAUAUACAAUGAAGCGUUAAACAAAAUAAACCAAAUAACAGGUGAAAACCCAUUUCACAACCCACCAAUUAUUUCUAAAACUACAAGGUCGUUCAUUACAAAAACUUGCACUCAAAAUUCCUCCAAUCCAAAAACAUAAAAUACCUUUUACACAAAUUACGCUCAUAUCUGCAUGGAUGCUCACUCACAACUUAAAUUGCCACAAAACCAAGCUGCACCUUUUAUUAAUCAAAAUAAUGGAUACAAUAGUCUCGCUUGAAACAACUAUGGAGCUGAACAUAGUUGGAGUUGAGGAAUUAAUUCACGAGCCAACGGUAAGUUUAACAAAUUUGCUUACUUAUGCCAAAACCUUUUAUUAAUCAAAAUAAUGGAUACAAUAGUCUCGCUUGAAACAACUAUGGAGCUGAACAUAGUUGGAGUUGAGGAAUUAAUUCACGAGCCAACGGUAAGUUUAACGCUUACUUAUGCCAAAAUGAAAUUUAAUCAUUAUUCACAUCAUCACAGAAAUAUUGGAAUACAUUGGGGGAUAUUUAG